rnacentral:rRNA from 1 species
UACGAAGGGGGCUAGCGUUGCUCGGAAUCACUGGGCGUAAAGCGCACGUAGGCGGCUUUUUAAGUCAGAGGUGAAAUCCUGGAGCUCAACUCCAGAACUGCCUUUGAUACUGGCGACCUUGAGUUCGGGAGAGGUGAGUGGAACUGCGAGUGUAGAGGUGAAAUUCGUAGAUAUUCGCAAGAACACCAGUGGCGAAGGCGGCUCACUGGCCCGAUACUGACGCUGAGGUGCGAAAGCGUGGGGAGCAAACAGG